AAACAAAGAGAACAAAGGAAAGAAGGCACACUCCUGUGCUGAGACUGGCCUUGUGUUCUGGAGAAAAGCUUCGACUGCUGACACUGGAGCCGGAUCUGCUGUGGGGGGCGUCCUGCCGGCCUACAGGCUGAAGACCAGGAAUCCUCCAGACCUGCAACACCAGAUUGGAACUGCUGAGUCCUGCAGCCUCAUAGACUGAGCAACUAUAAGAUUCUCAGCCUCUCCAAUGUGGCCCAGCCAUUGUUGGCCCACCCGUAUGCUAUUCUAGCUGACCACCAGGUCAAGAUGGGCGACUCUGGCUUUCACUUCUCCUGGACAAUGAUGAACUGACCUGCUGGACACACCUGACCUUCUCAUUCUGGCUUGACUGAACUCCUGGCGUGGCAGAGAAUUCCUGCUGUGUAGGCAAUGCCUCAACUCUAGUCUUGGUCUGAUGCUGCUGGAAUUUCUGUCCACCUGCCCUUCAUGUCCUUUUCCCCGGGCCUUGAAAAUCAAGUCAGACCCUUGAAACCAUUUUGCCUCCUAAAUCCUGCUUGUAAUGGGACUCUGAUUCUGAAAUGCUUAAGAGCAAGACAGGGCCUGUCCCCUACCUUGGGCUUGGACUUCAUCAGAGCCGGGGCCAGGACCUUGGCAUACACGUGGGAGGAUGAGGGGUGGAAGUGGAGAUGGAACAGGAAGAGGCAGGCGAUGCGGUCAUAGCUACUCCCUCCGGUGACACUCACAGUUCUUCACUUUUUGCCCUCAAUUAAGGCUGCCAAUCUAUGGGAUGGUGCUGCACACAUUCCCCCACCCCCUUUUCAUCUUCCCUGGAAAUGUACCCAGAGGUGCAUCUUACCAAUUUCCUAGGUGUUCUCAGUUCAAUCAAACUUUCGGCAAGGUGGCACAUACCUUUAAUCCCAAUCCUUGUGAGGCAGAGGUGGGUAGCUCUCUGUAAGAUCAAGGCCAGCCUGGUUCACAUAGUGAGUUCCAGGUGGGUUGGGACUAGGGAAAUCCUGUGAAAAAACAAAACAAAGUCAAUCCAAUCAAAGUGAUAAUCAAGAUUAACUAUACCCCAUGUCUGUUGGGAAAAAUUCACUCUGUAAUGCCAAGGUCAUUCUGGCUUCCUCUGAGCAGUGGCCAUGCUGGGUACUGGACAUGAAGCAUCUCUGUGCUCACUCCCACCAGCCCUUUGCUGCUAGACCUAUAACUAGAUUUCAGCCCCCGCAAAGCCUAACAUCUUCAAAUGAAGUUUGUGGCAGUAGGACGGGGGCUUGAUGAUUGUCUCUGAGCCUGGAAUGUUCUGUCCUCCUGGCAGCAGUGUCCUACAACAGCAGUAACACAAAACAGCACCAGACAUGUUCAGCGAAUAUUCUAUGUAUGAAAUGCAAAGCUGUGUCCUCUGCUAUAUCUUCUCUUGGUUUUCCAGAGCCUGAAGACUGAGGCACUGAUGCUUGGAGUUCUUCUGGGCCCAGUUUUAGCCUCAACUGGGUCUCUAAGAGUCUGUUUUCUGUCUUCAGGUAGAACUCACUCAACACAGUCAUGAUUAUCCAAGACGAGGGCUGGUGAUGUAGCUCAGUGGAAGACUGAAUAGCGCCUUCCUUUGUGUUAUUGAUAGGGAAAAGAAAUGCAGCCAUGCACUUAAUGUCACUUUCACGUGUGUCUAACAUUGCUUUAUGUCUGAUUUUAUACUUUAGAAUAUAGUACUCACCUUGAGCGUUUUAUAAGUGCUUACUAAAAUUUGUGUUGAAAAGGGAAAUAACACUAAAAUGGAGAAAGCAAUCUCAAGAAAUAAAUGCCACAGUUAUUUAGUGGAACAU